rnacentral:rRNA from 1 species
UACAGAGGGUGCGAGCGUUGUCCGGAAUCAUUGGGCGUAAAGCGCGCGUAGGCGGCCCCGUAAGUCCGCUGUGAAAGUCAAAGGCUCAACCUUUGAAAGCCGGUGGAUACUGUGGGGCUAGAGUCCGGAAGAGGCGAGUGGAAUUCCUGGUGUAGCGGUGGAAUGCGCAGAUAUCAGGAGGAACACCGGUGGCGAAGGCGGGACUCUGGGCCGAUACUGACGCUGAGGAGCGAAAGCGUGGGGAGCGAACAGG